UGUACGGAAGCCUUUAGAGAUAGAGGCGUGCUCGAAAGAGAGCCGUAACACAGGUGCUGCAUGGCUGUCGUCAGCUCGUGUCGUGAGAUGUUGGGUUAAGUCCCGCAACGAGCGCAACCCUUGUCAUUAGUUUGCUACAUUCAGUUGGGCACUCUAAUGAGACUGCCGGUGACAAGCCGGAGGAAGGUGGGGAUGACGUCAAGUCCUCAUGGCCCUUAUAGGUGGGGCUACACACGUCAUACAAUGGCUGGUACAAAGGGUUGCCAACCCGCGAGGGGGAGCUAAUCCCAUAAAGCCAGUCGUAGUCCGGAUCGUAGUCUGCAACUCGACUACGUGAAGUCGGAAUCGCUAGUAAUCGUGGAUCAGAAUGUCACGGUGAAUACGUUCCCGGGUCUU
rnacentral:rRNA from 1 species